rnacentral:tRNA from 1 species
GUCCCUGUAGCUUAUAGACAAAGCAUGACACUGAAGAUGUCAAGAUAGUUGCACAUGCAUCCAAGGACA